AUAAAUGAAAAAAUAAUAUCUCUCCCAUGUAGUGAAAAUAGGACAAGGGGUCUUAUAUCCAAAACUAUUUUGUUUUUAAUUGAAGAAAAA